GACGAACGCUGGCGGCGUGCUUAACACAUGCAAGUCGAACGGAAAGGCCCUGCUUUUGUGGGGUGCUCGAGUGGCGAACGGGUGAGUAACACGUGAGUAACCUGCCCUUGACUUUGGGAUAACUUCAGGAAACUGGGGCUAAUACCGGAUAGGAGCUCCUGCUGCAUGGUGGGGGUUGGAAAGUUUCGGCGGUUGGGGAUGGACUCGCGGCUUAUCAGCUUGUUGGGGGGGUAGUGGCUUACCAAGGCUUUGACGGGUAGCCGGCCUGGGAGGGUGACCGGCCACAUUGGGACGGAGAUACGGCCCGGACUCCUACGGGAGGCAGCAGUGGGGAGUAUUGCACAAUGGGCGGAAGCCUGAUGCAGCAACGCCGCGUGCGGGAUGACGGCCUUCGGGUUGUAAACCGCUUUCGCCUGUGACGAAGCGUGAGUGACGGUAAUGGGUAAAGAAGCACCGGCUAACUACGUG
rnacentral:rRNA from 1 species